CGUAGGGUGCGAGCGUUAAUCGGAAUUACUGGGCGUAAAGCGUGCGCAGGCGGUUUGUUAAGAUAGGCGUGAAAUCCCCGGGCUCAACCUGGGAACUGCGCUUAUGACUGGCAAGCUAGAGUACGGCAGAGGGGGUGGAAUUCCACGUGUAGCAGUGAAAUGCGUAGAGAUGUGGAGGAACACCAAUGGCGAAGGCAGCCCCCUGGGUCGAUACUGACGCUCACGCACGAAAGCGUGGGUAGCAAACAGGAUUAGAUACCCUGGUAGUCCACGCCCUAAACGAUGUCAACUAGGUGUUGGAUGGGUAAAACCAUUUAGUACCGGAGCUAACGCGUGAAGUUGACCGCCUGGGGAGUACGGCCGCAAGGUUA
rnacentral:rRNA from 1 species